UGGGGAAUCUUGGACAAUGGGGGCAACCCUGAUCCAGCCAUGCCGCGUGAGUGAUGAAGGCCUUAGGGUCGUAAAGCUCUUUCGCCUGUGAAGAUAAUGACGGUAGCAGGUAAAGAAACCCCUGGCUAACUCCGUGCCAGCAGCCGCGGUAAUACGGAGGGGGUUAGCGUUGUUCGGAAUUACUGGGCGUAAAGCGCACGUAGGCGGAUCGGAAAGUUGGGGGAUGAAAUCCCGGGGGCUCAACCCCGGAACUGCCUCCAAAACUAUCGGUCUAGAGUUCGAGAGAGGUGAGUGGAAUUCCGAGUGUAGAGGUGAAAUUCGUAGAUAUUCGGAGGAACACCAGUGGCGAAGGCGGCUCACUGGCUCGAUACUGACGCUGAGGUGCGAAAGUGUGGGGAGCAAACAGGAUUAGAUACCCUGGUAGUCCACACCGUAAACGAUGAAUGCCAGUCGUCGGAUAGCAUGCUAUUCGGUGACACACCUAACGGAUUAAGCAUUCCGCCUGGGGAGUACGGUCGCAAGAUUAAAACUCAAAGGAAUU
rnacentral:rRNA from 1 species